GAUCCUGGCUCAGGAUGAACGCUAGCUACAGGCUUAACACAUGCAAGUCGAGGGGCAGCAUUUUAGUUUGCUUGCAAGCUAAAGAUGGCGACCGGCGCACGGGUGAGUAACACGUAUCCAACCUGCCGAUAACUCUGGGAUAGCCUUUCGAAAGAAAGAUUAAUACCGGAUGGCAUAGGAUUAUCGCAUGAUAAUCCUAUUAAAGGAUUUCGGUUAUCGAUGGGGAUGCGUUCCA
rnacentral:rRNA from 1 species